CGAUUUCAGCUCAGGUCAUGAUCUCAUUGUGGUGAGACAGAGCCUCAGGUUGGGCUCCCAGUGCAGCAGCAGUCAGCUUAAGAUUCUCUCCCUCUCUCUCUCCCUCUGCUCCUCCCCCUGCACAUGGGAUCACCAGAGCACAGACACUGCUUCUCAAUGUGCGGUGAGAAACAACAAGAAAAGCUGACGUAACGAGAUGAAACUCACUGUAGCGGUCAGAAUAAGCAGCAUGGGUUCUGCUCACGUAACUAGUGCAGUCUACGACUCUGCUAACCUACCUGCAAGGUUUCCAUCCCUGUCCACUAAGUGCGACUCACAGACUGCGGGUGCUGUGGCAACUGUCCGCCCUAGCAACAGGCAGCCAUGACAACAGGCAGCGAAGAUGACAUCAGACAUGACAACAAAGCAAGAGGAGCAGGUGAUGCUAGGGAUGAGGACUCUAGUCCCAGAAAGAAGGCAGACAAAUUCGGGAGUCCAGGGAAGGGAGAUAGGGGAACGUAAGAAUACAGAGUCGUCCCGCCCCGUCGACUCCCCAACAGUCCCCACUUGUCCCGCAGGACCUCUGGGAAGAGCAAAGGAGACAGGCAGGACGUAGGUGAAUAGGGAAGAUGUUAAUAAGAAUCAGGGCUGAAAGGCCCAAGCGGAGGCGAACGGAAAUGUCGCCCGCUGGGCCUCUGAGCGCUGGGUGUACGCGACAGAAAGGGGCAGGUGACGACAGCGCUCACCAGGGUCUUUCCAGCCGAGAGCAGGGCCGGCGAGGAGCAGAAGCAAAAGAAGGC